CGCAGGGGGAGGACAGCCUAUUCAAUUUCUGGAAAUUCAGUGGGCUGGCUAUGAAGACCAGCUGUCCUACUGUGGCACGGUUCUGGAGUCCUACCUGCUUUCUCAGUUCCUGUCUCUUAGCAGUGGCUAGUUCUAAGAUGGAUUUUGUAAGACCACUUAGAAGGUUCUGCGGGAGUGAACUCCCCACAGCAGUGGCCAGCGUGUCUGUGGUGGGCUGAAUAAUGACACCCCAAAGAUGGGCACGUUCUUACCCUGGAAUCUGUCCUUCUCCACCCGUGGACUUGGUUGGGAGGAUUCCUCAGCGAAUGGUCCAGGAUGGGGAAGUAACAUCUAGAAACUAAACCCGGAUGGAUGAAGAUGUGGCCUUGUAUCAACAUUUACCU